UCUCUGGUGGUCGAGUGUCUAAGACUCUAUGCUCGAAAUGCAGGGGGCCUGGGUUCGAUCCCUGGUCAGGGAA
rfam:Ovis aries breed Texel chromosome 1, whole genome shotgun sequence.